GGCGGCGUGCCUAAUACAUGCAAGUAGAACGCUGAAGGAGGAGCUUGCUUCUCCGGAUGAGUUGCGAACGGGUGAGUAACGCGUAGGUAACCUGCCUGGUAGCGGGGGAUAACUAUUGGAAACGAUAGCUAAUACCGCAUAAGAGUAGAUGUUGCAUGACAUUUGCUUAAAAGGUGCAAUUGCACCACUACCAGAUGGACCUGCGUUGUAUUAGCUAGUUGGUGGGGUAACGGCUCACCAAGGCAACGAUACAUAGCCGACCUGAGAGGGUGAUCGGCCACACUGGGACUGAGACACGGCCCAGACUCCUACGGGAGGCAGCAGUAGGGAAUCUUCGGCAAUGGACGGAAGUCUGACCGAGCAACGCCGCGUGAGUGAAGAAGGUUUUCGGAUCGUAAAGCUCUGUUGUAAGAGAAGAACGAGUGUGAGAGUGGAAAGUUCACAACUGUGACGGU
rnacentral:rRNA from 1 species